AACGAACGCUGGCGGCAUGCCUAACACAUGCAAGUCGAACGAAGCCUUCGGGCUUAGUGGCGCACGGGUGCGUAACACGUGGGAAUCUGCCCUUCGGUUCGGAAUAACAGUUAGAAAUGACUGCUAAUACCGGAUGAUGACGUAAGUCCAAAGAUUUAUCGCCGAAGGAUGAGCCCGCGUAGGAUUAGGUAGUUGGUAGGGUAAUGGCCUACCAAGCCGACGAUCCUUAGCUGGGUCUGAGAGGAUGAUCAGCCACACUGGGACUGAGACACGGCCCAGACUCCUACGGGAGGCAGCAGUGGGGAAUAUUGGACAAUGGGCGAAAGCCUGAUCCAGCAAUGCCGCGUGAGUGAUGAAGGCCUUAGGGUUGUAAAGCUCUUUUACCAGGGAUGAUAAUGACAGUACCUGGAGAAUAAGCUCCGGCUAACUCCGUGCCAGCAGCCGCGGUAAAGUAGU
rnacentral:rRNA from 1 species